rnacentral:rRNA from 1 species
GACGAACGCUGGCGGCGUGCCUAAUACAUGCAAGUUGAGCGCUGAAGGUUGGUACUUGUACCAACUGGAUGAGCAGCGAACGGGUGAGUAACGCGUGGGGAAUCUGCCUUUGAGCGGGGGACAACAUUUGGAAACGAAUGCUAAUACCGCAUAAAAACUUUAAACACAAGUUUUAAGUUUGAAAGAUGCAAUUGCAUCACUCAAAGAUGAUCCCGCGUUGUAUUAGCUAGUUGGUGAGGUAAAGGCUCACCAAGGCGAAGAUACAUAGCCGACCUGAGAGGGUGAUCGGCCACAUUGGGACUGAGACACGGCCCAAACUCCUACGGGAGGCAGCAGUAGGGAAUCUUCGGCAAUGGACGAAAGGCUGACCGAGCAACGCCGCGUGAGUGAAGAAGGGUUUCGGAUCGUAAAAAUCUGUUGGUAGAGAAGAACGUUGGUGAGAGUGGAAAGCUCAUCAAGUGACGGUAACUACCCAGAAAGGGACGGCUAACUACGUG